rnacentral:rRNA from 1 species
GACGAACGCUGGCGGCGUGCUUAACACAUGCAAGUCGAACGGAAAGGCCCUGCUUUUGUGGGGUGCUCGAGUGGCGAACGGGUGAGUAACACGUGAGUAACCUGCCCCUGACUUUGGGAUAACUUCAGGAAACUGGGGCUAAUACCGGAUAGGAGCUCCUGCUGCAUGGUGGGGGUUGGUAAGAUUCGGCGGUUGGGGAUGGACUCGCGGCUUAUCAGCUUGUUGGUGGGGUAGUGGCUUACAAAGGCUUUGACGGGUAGCCGGCCUGAGAGGGUGACCGGCCACAUUGGGACUGAGAUACGGCCCAGACUCCUACGGGAGGCAGCAGUGGGGAAUAUUGCACAAUGGGCGGAAGCCUGAUGCAGCAACGCCGCGUGCUGGAUGACGGCCUUUGGGUUGUAAACCGCUUUCGCCUGUGACGAAGCGUGAGUGACGGUAAUGGGUAAAGAAGCACCGGCUAACUACGUG